CUAUCUGUUAUUCUCUCUCUUCACUAGCACCGCAAAACCCAUCCCUUCUCCUUUUUUUUCUUUCUCCGCUCACUCCGGUCUUCACCUCACCACAGACAAAAGAUUCACAAUCCACUACUUCAAUCACCACAAUAACACCUUAUUGUUCAUAUUCUCCAUCGAUCAAGUUCUAAAGCUCAAAAUCAGUGAAACCCCGAGAACCCUAGAUUACAAAUCUGAUUUGUUUCUCAAUUCAAAGAUUGAAACUCACUGUUAGGAAUUAAAGCUUUAUCUUAACACAUAUCUCAAAAUCAAAACCCAUGUAUUUGAAGAAAUUAAAGGAAACUUUGUAACCCUAAAUCUAGUUGAUUUGAUUUUGAAAUCAUCAUGGUAAUAUCAAUCAUGUUCUUGUUUCAUAAAUUUGAUAAAUUUUUAGUAUUAUAAACGACUUGGUUUCUCGUAAUUUUGUUUCGUUUUUGCAGUCAGGUGUUUCUUUUUCUAAUUUUCGUCACAAGAGCACAUCAAGUUGGUAGAAGAUUUCUUCUCCUAGUGUAUGAAACAAAACCCCUAAAUCUAAUAAUGAAAAUAAAGUAUAAUUUGAUAUUUAACCCUAACUUGCAAAAGUUCCAAGAGUGAGAUUUAAUCCUAAAGAGGUGCAAGUUGAAAUUGAUUUUUCACUGGAUUUUGGAGAAAAUUAUGACGAUAAUGUUGUUUAUCAUUUGAGGAUAACAAAGCAGACAUUGGUAUCGAAGAAGGUGCCACUCGCCAAAGGAUUUUCUAUUGGGAUUCUUGUUGGAAAUCAGGAUGGGAGAGAAAGUGACCGAGAAAGUGAUGAUGCCCCAGCAGCAUCAAAAAAACAGGCAAAGCGAGCAUGCGAAAAAACAUAAGUAGGACAAAGGAAGGGGAAACUAACUGACAUGUUAGGACCCGAGUGGAGCAAGGAAGAGCUUAAAUGCUUCUACGAACCAUUUCGAAAGUAUGGGAAAGACUGGAAAAAGGUAGCUGGUGUGGUGGGUAACAUAUCCACAAAAAUGGUGGAAGCACUUUACGAUAUAAACAGGUUGAAAAGUUUACUAUUGAUGGUGUUAAUAAGAUUGGAGUUAUGGAGCUAUUUUUGAUUUAACUAAGCUAAGGGGGUAUAACCAUGCAUCUCACUCCGGUUGCAUCAGUCGUGGAUUCACCAAGUUUAUACAUUUGGACUUGCUGGGAUAUAUAGUCGAGGAUUUUGGAAUCUUUUCUUAAAAAUUGUUUUUGUACAACAAGUUCGUUCUUAUAUCUGAAUUAUUUUUCUGUUUGUUUGUCUCAGUUUAGGUACAUUAUUCAAAUGUUGCGUUUGUCUCGUGCAAUGAUGUUGCAACUUAGUGGUCAGGGAGUGAAACUUGUCCUUACUCUCGGCUCUGUAAGGUUAUGAAAGGUACUCAUCCAACAAUCCAGUCAGCAGCACAAACAUCACAUCAGCAGUAUGCAAAGAGAUGCAUACUACUGGUCUGGGCAAAUGCAGUACAAUGGAGCUCUAAGGUACACCAUUCUAAAAGUAUGGCUUAAGUUCAUCAUCAUCCGGAAGUUUAUUGUUUUGCUGUUUAAUCAAUCGAUUAUUAGUUUAUCAUUUUGUAACCGAGUCUUAGAACUUAAUUACUUUUCUGGUUGUAAGAACUUAAAUUGGUCUGAAGUUAAGAUUUUAUACCUUUUAUGUGUAAUUUGAACCUAUUGAAUGUUGAAUUGAAAGACCAUUUGUGUGCAA